rnacentral:rRNA from 1 species
GAUGAACGCUGGCGGCGUGCCUAAUACAUGCAAGUCGAGCGAACAGACGAGGAGCUUGCUCCUCUGACGUUAGCGGCGGACGGGUGAGUAACACGUGGAUAACCUACCUAUAAGACUGGGAUACCUUCGGGAAACCGGCGCCAAUACCGGAUAAUAUAUUGAACCGCAUGUUUCAAUAGUGCAAGACGAUUUUGCUGUCACUAAUAGAGGGAUCCGCGCCGCAUCAGCUAGUUGGUAAGGUAACGGCGUAACAAGGCAACGAUGCGUAGCCGACAUGAGAGGGUGAUCGGCCACACUGGAAGUGAGAGACGGUCCAGACUCCUACAGGAGGCAGCAGUAGGGAAUCUUACGCAAUGGACGAAAGCCUGACGGAGCAACGCCGCGUGAGUGAUGAAGCUCUUCGGAUCGGAAAGCUCUGUUAUUAGGGAAGAACAAAUGUGUAAGUAAAUAUGCACGUAUUGACGGUACCUAAUCAGAAAGCCACGGCUAACUACGUG